rnacentral:rRNA from 1 species
GACGAAGGAUGCAAGCGUUAUCCGGAUUCAUUGGGUUUAAAGGGAGCGUAGGUGGCUUUGUAAGUCAGUGGUGAAAUCUUCUCGCUUAACGAGAAAACUGCCAUUGAUACUGCAGAGCUUGAGUACGGUUGCCGUUGGCGGAAUAUGACAUGUAGUGGUGAAAUACAUAGAGAUGUCAUAGAACACCGAUUGCGAAGGCAGCUAACGAAACCGUAACUGACACUGAGGCUCGAAAGUGCGGGGAUCAAACAGG